AUACGGAGGGUGCAAGCGUUAUUCGGAAUCACUGGGCGUAAAGGACGCGUAGGGGGGUUGGCAAGUCAGAUGUGAAAUCCUACAGCUUAACUGUAGAACUGCAUUUGAAACUGCUAACCUAGAGUAUGGGAGGGGGAGAUGGAAUUAGUGGUGUAGGGGUAAAAUCCGUAGAUAUCACUAGGAAUACCGAAAGCGAAGGCGAUCUCCUGGAACAUAACUGACGCUAAGGCGUGAAAGCGUGGGGAGCAAACAGGAUUAGAAACCCUAGUAGUCC
rnacentral:rRNA from 1 species